UAUUACAACGGAGAGUUUGAUCCUGGCUCAGGAUGAACGCUAGCGGCAGGCUUAAUACAUGCAAGUUGAACGAGAUUUACU
rnacentral:rRNA from 1 species